rnacentral:rRNA from 1 species
UACGGAGGGCGCAAGCGUUAUCCGGAUUCACUGGGUUUAAAGGGUGCGUAGGUGGCCUGUUAAGUCAGAGGUGAAAGACGGUAGCUCAACUAUCGCAGUGCCUUUGAUACUGACGGGCUUGAAUAAACUAGAGGUAGGCGGAAUGAGACAAGUAGCGGUGAAAUGCAUAGAUAUGUCUCAGAACACCGAUUGCGAAGGCAGCUUACUAUGGUUUUAUUGACGCUGAGGCACGAAAGCGUGGGGAUCAAACAGG